rnacentral:lncRNA from 1 species
UUUGGUGGACUGUUGGGAAGGCAUGAUUGGUUUUGAAAUCUGAGCCGAAAUUGGAAUAAUGGGAGCUCCCUCUGCUACUGUACCUUGGACAAACGCAAGGAUCUGCUCGUAUUGUUCUUUAGCCUGCCUUUCUUUUACCAAAUCAAUUUUAUUUUGUAGAAUCAAAAUAUGCUUCAGUUUCAUGAUCUCUAUAGCAGCCAGGUGUUCAGAUGUCUGAGGCUGAGGGCAAGAUUCAUUACCAGCUAUCAACAGAAGAGCUGCAUCCAUCACUGCUGCACCGUUCAGCAUAGUAGCCAUCAAAAUAUCGUGGCCAGGACAGUCAACAAAGGAAACAUGUCUGACUAAUCUGAAGUUCCCUUUGGUUCCUGGAAUGUCUGUAGGAAACUCAUCAGGCAUACUGCUCCCACAAGAUCGAUAACAUUCUGGCCGAGGGCAACUUGGGUCAUCAAGUUGAUAAAUCUUAGCAUUAGCAUAUCCAAGCUUGAUUGUAAUAUUUCUUUCUAGUUCAUUUUUGAACCUGACGGUGUGAACUCCAGAAAUAGCUUUGACGACUGUGGAUUUCCCAUGAGCUACAUGACCAAUUGUACCUAUAUUAAUUGUGGCUUGUCUGCUGAUAACUUCGUGUGAAAGUGGCGUCAACUUGGUAACAUCCAAGGUGGUGAGAUCCUGACGCGAAAGGUGCGGCUGCCCCAGAGUCACCCCAGCUUCUCCGCCCGC